UCCUUGCGCGUUUCCUCCGAGACUGAAAAACAGAUAUAUGUCUAAAAAUGGGAGAUCUAAACAACAUGUACAUUUACAUCCCAAAGAAAUGGGGUACCCAGAUAAGACAAUGAAAUUCCUGUUGUAAUAAAGAAUGAACACAACAUUCUUUCAUAUGGGCAAAGAAAUCAGAUUCAUCUAUUUUCCCCUCCAUGCGUAGUGAAUGAGUGGCAAAAGCACAUGCUAAUACCAUUCAAUUUCUGUAAACAGAGCAGCUUAGUUAUUUUUACAUGUUUUAUCACAGGAAGAAGGAUGGAAAUUAGAAACCAAUGGCAGGUAUCCAAUACCAUAAAAGCCUG
rnacentral:misc_RNA from 1 species